rnacentral:lncRNA from 1 species
UAGAGCUCACUGUCAACCCUAUAAUUAGUACAUCCAUUAUGUGAUUAACUUUAGAUAUCCCGUGACUCCUCACUGAGAUUACCCUGGCCAAGGUUUUACUAAAUUAAUCACAAGACAUUAUCUCCUGUUUCCAGGAGGGGUCAAUUCCAUCUUAACUCACAACUGACUACGCAAGUACUUGACUGCACUCAGUGACCUUCCGUCACUGAAUUAGAAAUUCAGGUAGUCUGGUACCAAAGUACAGUGAGUUGCUUGCUAGUCACAGGUUGCGGUCUCAGGUCAGAGGGCCAA